ACCUGGUUGGCUCAGUUGGUGGAGCAUGCAAUUCUUGAUCUCAGGGUUGUGAGUUCGAGUCCCACAUUGGGUA
rnacentral:tRNA from 1 species